rnacentral:rRNA from 1 species
UACGGAGGGUGCAAGCGUUAUCCGGAUUCACUGGGUUUAAAGGGUGCGUAGGCGGGCAGGUAAGUCCGUGGUGAAAUCUCCGAGCUUAACUCGGAAACUGCCGUGGAUACUACCGGUCUUGAAUAUCGUGGAGGUGAGCGGAAUAUGUCAUGUAGCGGUGAAAUGCUUAGAGAUGACAUAGAACACCCAUUGCGAAGGCAGCUCACUACCCGAAUAUUGACUCUGAGGCACGAAAGCGUGGGGAUCAAACAGG